AUUUGUCUUUUAAUUGAAGGCUAGUAUGAAUGGUUGGACGAAAAAAUACUUUCUUUAUUUUAUAUAAAUAAAUUAAUUUUUUAGUUAAAAAGCUAAGAUUUUUUUAUAGGACGAGAAGACCCUAUAGAACUUUAUUUUCUACAUAUAUAUAUUUUAUAGAUUUUUAAAAUAUUAUAUAUUAAUAGUUAAUUUAAUUGGGGUGAUUGA
rnacentral:rRNA from 1 species